rnacentral:rRNA from 1 species
GACGAACGCUGGCGGCGUGCCUAAUACAUGCAAGUAGAACGCACAGUUUAUACCGUAGCUUGCUACACCAUAGACUGUGAGUUGCGAACGGGUGAGUAACGCGUAGGUAACCUGCCUGGUAGCGGGGGAUAACUAUUGGAAACGAUAGCUAAUACCGCAUAAUAUUAAUUAUUGCAUGAUAAUUAAUUGAAAGGUGCAAUUGCACCACUACCAGAUGGACCUGCGUUGUAUUAGCUGGUAGGUGAGGUAACGGCUCACCUAGGCGACGAUACAUAGCCGACCUGAGAGGGUGAUCGGCCACACUGGGACUGAGACACGGCCCAGACUCCUACGGGAGGCAGCAGUAGGGAAUCUUCGGCAAUGGACGAAAGUCUGACCGAGCAACGCCGCGUGAGUGAAGAAGGUUUUCGGAUCGUAAAGCUCUGUUGUAAGAGAAGAACGGGUGUGAGAGUGGAAAGUUCACACUGUGACGGUAUCUUACCAGAAAGGGACGGCUAACUACGUG